GGGGUUGUGGCUCAGCAGUAGAGCACUGGCCUAGCAUGUGAGAGGCCCUGGGUUCGAUCCUCAGCACCA
rnacentral:tRNA from 1 species